rnacentral:rRNA from 1 species
CCUACGGGUGGCUGCAGUGAGGAAUAUUGCGCAAUGGGGGAAACCCUGACGCAGCAACGCCGCGUGAGUGAGGAAGGUUUUCGGACCGUAAAGCUCUGUCGAGCGGGAAGAAGUGCAUGGUGGCUAAUAUCCAUUAUGCUUGACGGUACCGCUAAAGGAAGCACCGGCUAACUCCGUGCCAGCAGCCGCGGUAAUACGGGGGGUGCUAGCGUGCGUCAAGAUCGUGGGGCGGGCUGGAUAAGUAGGCGGCGAAAGCCCUGGGCUUAACCUAGGAAGUGCAUUUGAAACUGUUCAGCUUGAGUAAGGGAGAGGAAAGUGGAAUUCCUGGUGUAGAGGUGAAAUUCGUAGAUAUCAGGAGGAACACCGGUGGCGAAGGCGACUUUCUGGCCCUAUACUGACGCUGAGACGCGAGAGCGUGGGUAGCAAACAGGAUUAGAUACCCUAGUAGUC